rnacentral:rRNA from 1 species
AACGUAGGACGCAAGCGUUAUCCGGAAUUACUGGGCGUAAAGCGCUUGUAGGCGGGUCUGUAAGUCUGUCGUGAAAAUCCGCGGCUAAACUGGGAGAGGUCGAUGGAAACUACAGAUCUGGAGUUUGGCAGAGGAAUGUGGAAUUCCGCGUGUAGUGGUGAAAUGCGUAGAGAUGCGGAGGAACACCAGUGGCGAAGGCGGCAUUCUGGGCCACAACUGACGCUGAGACGCGAAAGCAUGGGUAGCGAACGGG